UUUGUAAAUGUUUACAAUGUUAAUGCAUCAAAUUACAUUAGAACUCCAUAAUUAAGUGCGCUUGGGAUACAAUAGUACUAGGAUGGGUGACCUCCCAAGAAGUGCUAGUGUUUUACAUGC
rfam:Picea glauca, whole genome shotgun sequence.